rnacentral:rRNA from 1 species
UACAGAGGGUGCAAGCGUUGUUCGGAAUUAUUGGGCGUAAAGGGCGCGUAGGCGGUGCUGUAAGUCUGUGGUGAAAUCUCUGGGCUCAACUCAGAGUCUGCCAUAGAAACUGCAGUGCUAGAGUGUGGGAGAGGCGCGUGGAAUUGCAGGUGUAGCGGUGAAAUGCGUAGAUAUCUGCAGGAACACCCGUGGCGAAAGCGGCGCGCUGGACCACUACUGACGCUGAGGAACGAAAGCUAGGGGAGCAAACAGG